rnacentral:lncRNA from 1 species
AUGGUACUGUUGGAGUGAGAGAGUGCAAGUGUUGUGUCCCUACUUCGUGUUGAAGUGGAAAAGAAGGUUGAGGGAACAUCAGCGGAGGCGGUCCGGUGGGCAGUGGAGGGAAAGUAUGUGGCUGAGAUGGAGGUGGUGGGGGUUGUGAUAUAGGAAGUGGUGGUGGUGGAGGAGGUGGCAAUGGAGAUGAUGGAGGUGGAGGUGGCGCAGGCGAUGGAGGGGGUGAAGAAGGCAAAGGUGGAGUGGGUGGAGGAGAACAAGGAGGUAAUGGAGGGGAUCCCAUAGGUAGAGGAGGCAAAUCAGAUAUAUUAUCUAAACAUGAUUCC